rnacentral:rRNA from 1 species
AUUGAACGCUGGCGGCAUGCCUUACACAUGCAAGUCGAACGGCAGCACGGGAGCAAUCCUGGUGGCGAGUGGCGAACGGGUGAGUAAUGUAUCGGAACGUACCUUUCAGUGGGGGAUAACGUAGCGAAAGUUACGCUAAUACCGCAUAUUCUGUGAGCAGGAAAGCAGGGGAUCGCAAGACCUUGCGCUGAUUGAGCGGCCGAUAUCAGAUUAGCUAGUUGGUGAGGUAAAGGCUCACCAAGGCGACGAUCUGUAGCGGGUCUGAGAGGAUGAUCCGCCACACUGGAACUGAGACACGGUCCAGACUCCUACGGGUGGCAGCCUGUGCCAAGGCACACAGGGGAUAGGG